UGGUCACGAAUAUCACGAUUUGUCGGAUUUGCCUAUUACUCCAGCGUGGUUUAUUCUCGGACGAUCCGUCGGAACGGAGGACAUAAACCAUCAAAUCGCAUCUGACAUCAAACUGGAAGUGAUUUGUCCACUGAAAGGAACUAGAAUGAAAGGCGACAAAAGAGCGAAUAAUAACUUGAUGAACGCGAUCCAAGCGACGUCCAAUAGAUGAAGGGAUUCCAAUCCAAUUCAAUUUUAUUUUCUGCAAUUCUUCAGCAUCGCCGGGAUGAUUGUGACAUGUAAUACCACUGACGGUGCCAUCUGCAUCGCCCUGCUUUCAAUAAAGCGAUAUUGCUUCGGAGUUCGGACCUAGAUUGUAUUUGUGAACAGCUCACGACAUUAAAAGCGGCGAUUAGCGGAACACAUCUUAGAUUCAUGAUCCAAUAUGGUGAGUUUACCGUUAACCACAUAUUCUGCUAGCCUUAAUUUGGGGGCUGUUUGUUGGGCUGUUUGCCUCAUUUGAUAAUCUGACCUAAUCUGACGAAGAAUAUUGGAUAAUUUAGCCAAAACCCCUAAUAAGCAACUAAAAUAACCCUCUUGCUCAACUUAACAUUAAAAUAUGCAUUUAAUUAAUUGAAUUAAAGAAUUAAAAAAUAAAAAAUAACAAACUUUUCACAAUUCAAUUUUACAUAAUACCCCCAAAUUUUGCUUAGAGUUUUCCCAAUUCAUCCUUGAUGAAGACACCACCGAAUGUUGUUAUACUAUCAAUUGCAAUUAGAAUUUAACGAAGUAAAAACCGGCAUUUAAAUAUACGUUUGGCUAAUUUAUUUGCUUAAAAGUUUGUCUUUGGGCACGCAAACUGUCAUCACUGUAAAAUAAAAUGGGCGUACCCCUUUUUGGUUAAAAUCAAUCUUUAUUUUGUAGUGCGGGUGGAAUAAAUAAACUUUUAGAUUAAAAUGUCUCGAGUUCUCAUCAAAUUAACAAGUUAAAGGAAAGGAAUAAAUUUAGACAAAAAAAAAAGCAGUUUUUCACAUUUAGUUUAGACACGCUAAUCUGCAUUCGUUGAGCGUGUGGAAAUUGUUGCUAUUUCCAUGACAUCCACCGUAGACAAAAGACUUGCACGACCUGCUGGAUGGAUCGUAAUAAUAUCGAU